ensembl:ncRNA F53F8.10 ncRNA
AAAAAGUAUUUAGGGGGCACCCGGAGUUGAACCAGGGACCUCUCGAUCUGCAGUCGAAUGCUCUGCCACUGAGCUAUACCCCCACG